GUGUUGAUCAUGCUGCUUGAACAGCAUAUGCAGUGUCUACUAGUGGCUAAAUAAUAAGCGUCUCCAUCUCUAAAAGAUGCGUGUGAUGGUUUUUUGUCACUAUAAUUAAAGGGAUGAAUACGAUUUGAUAUUUUCUCGAAAUGUGCAAAUGAAUUGCUUUCUUUUGCAGCUGUCAAUUAGUGAUGGUUUGGAGGGCGGCAACGGAGGUGCUCCUGCCGUGCCAAUAGCAAGAGCGAUUUUGCUCGAGAUAUGGUGGCAAGAGCAGCGAGGACAUCAGCAAUAUCGGCAAGUUCAGGCCUGCUGAAUGUUUUAGGAGUAAUAUAUAUGUGAAGUUCAGGCCUGCUGUUGCUUCUCAUGCCGCGAUUUCUCCUUCUGAUAACGUUCCUGUUGCUUUCUCUGGUGGGCUUCUUCCCGGUUUACCUUUCUUUCACUGUGAACUGCCCAAACCAUACCACCAGAAAUGCUACUGUUCUCUGCCUUGCUGGUUUCCCCCCCUCUUUCUGGUUCCCUUUUUAAGGUUCAGACUUCAGACAACUGUUUCUAUAUAGAAUGUCAUUGACUCAUUGAGUUGACCCAGUAACUCGGUGUCUAAGCUUUUUCUGGUUCAGUCUUCAAGUCGGUUGGGUAACCACGAUCUCUUUUCUGCUACUGCUGCUUUCUUUCAUGGGUCCAGUGGCAAUCGAUCGAGCUUCUUUUUCUCGGGAAAUAUUUCGACGAAAGCUCUCUGGCAGUUUUAUGAGGAUAAGUUGAACAGAGUGGAUUUGUCAUGGGUUUUUUGUUGCUUCGAUUCGUUAGUCUGGACAAGCUUUUCUGGAGAUUUUGGAAUGUGGCCCUCACUGGAGGAGUCGAGAGCGGUUGCCAUUCAGAUUGAGUUUAUAUUCUCCGAUGGCACCCACAGAUUUCAUUCGAGGGAACUAAUCCUCCAUAUCCAUUGCUCGCAUUGGGCUAUGAACCUUAUAUGAGACAAGCCCAAUCUUAACCAGAGUACUCGAGGAUCAAACUUGAGUAGAGAGAGGCCAAGUAUAAAGCCUCUCCAUUAAAGGCACGACAGAUAUGAAAGGGGAACAAUUUCGGCCAAGACAGAGUUAAUUAAGAUGGUUAAUUCACCAUGGAGUGUGAUUAUUAACGUGUAAAUUAAACUAAUGAUGGUUGAAUAAGAGAUUUAUAUUAAGAAAAUUUGAAAUGGAAUAUUACUCAACAUUUAUGCAUAGAUUUCGGCUAGAAAAAAGAGAACAAGAAAAUUACGUACGGGUUCCUUUAAAAAAAAAAUGGAAAAUUUGUUUAUGAUGUGGAGAUGGAUUUUUGGAUAUGUAUGGAUAAGGAUUCAAAAUUUAUAAAAUGUACGUAUUGAUAUA